rnacentral:rRNA from 1 species
GACGAACGCUGGCGGCGUGCCUAAUACAUGCAAGUAGAACGCUGAAGAGAAGAGCUUGCUCUUCUUGGAUGAGUUGCGAACGGGUGAGUAACGCGUAGGUAACCUGCCUGGUAGCGGGGGAUAACUAUUGGAAACGAUAGCUAAUACCGCAUAAAAUUGAUUAUUGCAUGAUAAUUAAUUGAAAGAUGCAAUUGCAUCAUUACCAGAUGGACCUGCGUUGUAUUAGCUAGUUGGUGAGGUAACGGCUCACCAAGGCGACGAUACAUAGCCGACCUGAGAGGGUGAUCGGCCACACUGGGACUGAGACACGGCCCAGGCUCCUACGGGAGGCAGCAGUAGGGAAUCUUCGGCAAUGGGGGGAACCCUGACCGAGCAACGCCGCGUGAGUGAAGAAGGUUUUCGGAUCGUAAAGCUCUGUUGUAAGAGAAGAACGGGUGUGAGAGUGGAAAGUUCACACUGUGACGGUAUCUUACCAGAAAGGGACGGCUAACUACGUGCCAGCAGCCGCGGUAAUACGUAGGUCCCGAGCGUUGUCCGGAUUUAUUGGGCGUAAAGCGAGCGCAGGCGGUUAGAUAAGUCUGAAGUUAAAGGCUGUGGCUUAACCAUAGUAUGCUUUGGAAACUGUUUAACUUGAGUGCAGAAGGGGAGAGUGGAAUUCCAUGUGUAGCGGUGAAAUGCGUAGAUAUAUGGAGGAACACCGGUGGCGAAAGCGGCUCUCUGGUCUGUAACUGACGCUGAGGCUCGAAAGCGUGGGGAGCAAACAGGAUUAGAUACCCUGGUAGUCCACGCCGUAAACGAUGAGUGCUAGGUGUUAGGCCCUUUCCGGGGCUUAGUGCCGCAGCUAACGCAUUAAGCACUCCGCCUGGGGAGUACGACCGCAAGGUUGAAACCCAAAGGAAUUGACGGGGGCCCGCACAAGCGGUGGAGCAUGUGGUUUAAUUCGAAGCAACGCGAAGAACCUUACCAGGUCUUGACAUCCCUCUGACCGCUCUAGAGAUAGAGUUUUCCUUCGGGACAGAGGUGACAGGUGGUGCAUGGUUGUCGUCAGCUCGUGUCGUGAGAUGUUGGGUUAAGUCCCGCAACGAGCGCAACCCCUAUUGUUAGUUGCCAUCAUUCAGUUGGGCACUCUAGCGAGACUGCCGGUAAUAAACCGGAGGAAGGUGGGGAUGACGUCAAAUCAUCAUGCCCCUUAUGACCUGGGCUACACACGUGCUACAAUGGCUGGUACAACGAGUCGCAAGCCGGUGACGGCAAGCUAAUCUCUGAAAGCCAGUCUCAGUUCGGAUUGUAGGCUGCAACUCGCCUACAUGAAGUCGGAAUCGCUAGUAAUCGCGGAUCAGCACGCCGCGGUGAAUACGUUCCCGGGCCU